rfam:Frankia alni str. ACN14A chromosome, complete sequence.
CCUCGGGGACCUGCUGCGGGCAGAUCAGGUGCACGUGGCAGUCGACCGCGCCCGCGGUGAGGAUCUUCCCGUUCCCGGCGAUGAUCUCGGUGCCGGGCCCGAUGACCAGGUCGGGGUGGACGCCGUCCAUCGUGUCCGGGUUGCCGGCCUUGCCGAGGGCGACGAUCCGCCCGUCGCGGAUGCCGACGUCCGCCUUGAUCACGCCCCAGUGGUCGAGGACGACGGCGCCGGUGAUGACGAGAUCGGGCGCGCCCUGCGCGCGGGUCGCCCGCGACUGGCCCAUGGACUCGCGGAUG